rnacentral:rRNA from 1 species
AGAGUUUGAUCAUGGCUCAGAUUGAACGCUGGCGGCAUGCCUUACACAUGCAAGUCGAACGGCAGCACGGGAGCAAUCCUGGUGGCGAGUGGCGAACGGGUGAGUAAUACAUCGGAACGUGCCCAGUUGUGGGGGAUAGCCCGGCGAAAGCCGGAUUAAUACCGCAUACGACCUGAGGGUGAAAGCGGGGGACCUGCAAGGGCCUCGCGCAGUUGGAGCGGCCGAUGGCAGAUUAGGUAGUUGGUGGGGUAAAGGCUCACCAAGCCGACGAUCUGUAGCUGGUCUGAGAGGACGACCAGCCACACUGGGACUGAGACACGGCCCAGACUCCUACGGGAGGCAGCAGUGGGGAAUAUUGGACAAUGGGCGCAAGCCUGAUCCAGCCAUGCCGCGUGCGGGAAGAAGGCCUUCGGAUCGUAAACUCCUGUUGCCCGGGACGAAUAGCUUCGACCUAACACGUCGAAGUCUGACGGUACCGGGUGAGGAAGCCCCGGCUAACUCUGUGCCAGCAGCCGCGGUAAUACAGAGGGGGCAAGCGUUGUUCGGAAUUACUGGGCGUAAAGGGCGCGUAGGUGGCCUGUUAAGUCGAACGUGAAAUCCCCGGGCUCAACCCGGGAACUGCGUCCGAUACUGGCUGGCUUGAAUCCGGGAGAGGGAUGCGGAAUUCCAGGUGUAGCGGUGAAAUGCGUAGAUAUCUGGAGGAACACCGGUGGCGAAGGC